AGCAGAAAUAGCUUCCAAAGGUUGUAUGCAGAUUUAGUGUUGAAUUAAAUGCAGCAGAAAUAGCCUCCAAAGUUUGUAUGCAGAUUUAGUAUUAAUUGCAGAGGAAAUAGUUUCAAGAGUGUUUAACAAUGGUUAGCUUAUAAUUACAACUGAGAAGUACUUAGCUUAAUAGUAGUAGUUCCAGAGAACUGGGGAGAUCAAUUUAAGCAGUCUUUUAGGAGAGAGAGUAGAAGUCCAUUAAACAGUCCGGGUCGAGGAGUGGAGAAGGCGGGUAGUCAUUCACAGAGCGGGUUCGG